AGAGGAAGUAAAAGUCGUAACAAGGUUUCCGUAGGUGAACCUGCGGAAGGAUCAUUACCGAACUGUCGACACGAGUUGUUGCUGGUCCUCGAAAGGGGUCAAGUGCACGCUCUGUUUACACAUCCACUCACACCUGUGCACCCUCUGUAGUUCUAUGGCCUGGGGGCUCUGUCCUCUYGCUGUGGUCCUACGUCUUUACACACACACACCGUAAUAGAGUCUCAUGGAAUGUAUCUCGCGUUUAACGCAGUAUAAUACAACUUUCAGCAACGGAUCUCUUGGCUCUCGCAUCGAUGAAGAACGCAGCGAAAUGCGAUAAGUAAUGUGAAUUGCAGAAUUCAGUGAAUCAUCGAAUCUUUGAACGCACCUUGCGCCCUUUGGCUAUUCCGAAGGGCAUGCCUGUUUGAGUAUCAYGAACACCUCAACUCUCAUGGUYCACCAUGAUGAGCUUGGACUUUGGGGGUCUUGCUGGCCUAUCACCGGCUCCUCUCAAACGAAUCAGCUUGCCAGUGUUUGGUGGCAUCACAGGUGUGAUAACUAUCUACGCUUGUGUUUUCCCACCAGGUAACCUCCAGCAAUGGGGGUUCGCUGAAGCUCACAAUUGUCUCUCCUCAGUGGAGACAGCUUUUGAACGUUUGAUCUCAAAUCAGGUAGGACUACCCGCUGAACUUAAGCAUAUCAA
rnacentral:rRNA from 1 species